rnacentral:lncRNA from 1 species
CCCGAUUAUUUACAAAAUACUACAAUUAUGGGAAUAAAAUCAUAUAAAAGCAUAUAUAAAUAUAUGCUCUAUCAAAUAUCCCCACACUUAGUGUUUUGCACGUCCUCGGACAAAUAAAAUAAAUAAAACUAACACCUAAUAGAUAUAUACCACUUCCGUAGGUGAUCACGGUUGCAUUUGGCAUAUGCAACAAGCCCUUUAAACCCCUAGGCAGCCCUAGUGGACGAGUAAGGUCUCGUGAGGGCCUAUAGUGAAUGUACCCACAAAAUUCAUUUUUUUUUUCUUUGCCAAGUCUUAAGAAUGCAACUAAUAUGAAUGCAGACUAACUGAAUAUGCAUAGAUCCCAAUCAUGAAAUUAUCAACCUUGUCAACAUAUCUGCCAAGUCUUAAGAAUGCAACUAAUAUGAAUGCAAACUAAAUGAAUAUGCAUAGAUCCCAAUCAUGAAAUUAUCAACCUUGUCAACAUAUAAUCCUCAGAAUAUGCAACAAUCAAGGAUUUCAUCUAUCACACAUAUUAGUCAUGCAACUCUUUCACUGCAAGUACGGAGUGCAUCGUGUGUGCUCAACAUGCUCUCUAAUGAAACGAAAUAGAGACCAACAAAGUUCAACAGAAUCUUAACCAUGAGUCGUUAAUCAGAAUAAUGCUUAAACACUUCGUUACAUUAGAGCCAACUACAGUUUAGGGUCACCAAGGAACUUCCAUGCCUCUCCUAUAUAUGCUUCUCUUUUUUUUCUCUUUUUCUUUUUUUUUUUCAAUAUCUAUUAUU